rnacentral:snRNA from 1 species
UCACUCUGUCCUCAUCUCAAUUAUCGCAUAAAUCUUUCGCCUUUUACUAAAGAUUUCCGUGUGAUGGGGAGAUUCUAAUGAGUCUAUUAGAAUUUUUUAGAAGGCAAUCCUUACCGGAU